UAGGGAGACCUACCCUUAAUGACCCCGAGAAUUUAUAUAGGGGCAUUGAGAGGUCACUCUAGGUCGGUGGAAUUUUGGUGAGCUUCUAGACUAUGUUGAGGUGUUAUGGGCUAUUAGCUCAGGUGGUUAGAGCGCACCCCUGAUAAGGGUGAGGUCCCUGGUUCGAGUCCAGGAUGGCCCACUGAGUGGGGGUAUAGCUCAGCUGGUAGAGCGCCUGCUUUGCAAGCAGGAUGUCAGCGGUUCGAGUCCGCUUACCUCCACCAAUUAGGACGAGAGUGCAGGCAUGGCACGGUGAUAAGCGCUGAGAGGCGUGAGUUAUCCUGCUGGGUCUGUGACUCAGCGAGCACCUUGAAAACUGCAUAAGAGAAGAGUGUAAGGUAGUACACAGAUAUUUAGAGCUCACCAAGCGAAAGCAA
rnacentral:tRNA from 1 species